CCUAAUACAUGCAAGUCGAGCGGAACAAUGGGAGCUUGCUCCCAAUGUUUAGCGGCGGACGGGUGAGUAACACGUGGGCAACCUGCCCUGCAGAUCGGGAUAACUCCGGGAAACCGGUGCUAAUACCGAAUAGUUUGUUUCACCGCCUGGUGAAACACGGAAAGACGGUUUCGGCUGUCACUGCAGGAUGGGCCCGCGGCGCAUUAGCUAGUUGGUGAGAUAGUAGCUCACCAAGGCGACGAUGCAUAGCCGACCUGAGAGGGUGAUCGGCCACACUGGGACUGAGACACGGCCCAGACUCCUACGGGAGCAGCAGUAGGAAUCUUCCGCAAUGGACGAAAGUCUGACGGAGCAACGCCGCGUGAGUGAUGAAGGUUUCGGCUCGUAAAACUCUGUUAGUUAAGGAAGAUACGUUGAGGUAGUAACUGGCCUUGAGAUGACGGUACUAACCAGAAGCCAGGUCGACUUGCAUGUAUUAGGAGUCGUGGAAGG
rnacentral:rRNA from 1 species